UAUCUGUGCAGCGAGCUUAAGCCGAAAAGGUGUAGGCGUAGCGAAAGCGAGUCUGAAUAGGGCGAUGAGUUGUACGGAUAAGAACCCGAAACCUAGUGAUCUAGUUAUGAGCAGGUUGAAGGUAAGGUAACACUUACUGGAGGACCGAACCGGUGCCUGUUGAAAAAGGCUCGGAUGACUUGUGAUUAGGGGUGAAAGGCCAAUCAAACUGGGAGAUAGCUGGUUUUCCGCGAAAACUAUUUAGGUAGUGCGUUGAAUAAUAAGAUCUUGAGGGGUAGAGCACUAAAUAGGCUAGGGGGAAGAAAUUCUUACUAAACCUAAUAAAACUCCGAAUACUCAAGAUUGUUUCUCAAUAGACAGACGGUGGGAGCUAACUUCCAUCGUCGAGAGGGAAAAAACCCAGACCACCAUCUAAGGUCCCAAAAUCGUAGUUAAGUGUGAAAGGAUGUGAAGACUCCAAAACAGCCGGGAGGUUGGCUUAGAAGCAGCCAUCCUUUAAAGAAAGCGUAACAGCUCACCGGUCUAAUUAAGAGACUUUGCGCCGAAGAUGUAACGGGGCUCAAACUACGUACCGAAGUUGUGGAUUUAAAGUGUCUACGGACAUUUUAUCUGGUAGCGGAACGUUCUGUAAGUCUGCGAAGGGAUACCCGCGAGGGGUCCUGGAGAUAUCAGAAGUGCGAAUGCUGACAUAAGUAGCGACAAACAGAGUGAAAGACUCUGUCGCCGAAAAUACAAGGGUUCCUGCGUAAAGUUAAUCUUCGCAGGGUUAGUCGGCCCCUAAGGCGAGGGCGAAAGCCGUAGUCGAUGGGAACAAGGUAAAUAUUCCUUGACCUGAUGGUAGUGACGGAUCUCGUAUAUUGUAAGUUCUUAUUGGAUUGAACUUGCCUUGAAGAGGUCCCAGGAAAUAACUCCAUCAUUAAGACCGUACCCUAAACGGACACACGUGUAUUGGUAGAGAAUACCUAGGCGCUUGAGAGAAUGAUGUUGAAGGAACUCGGCAACUUGCCUCUGUAACUUCGGGAUAAAGAGGGCCUUAUUUUGCGCAAGCAGAGUAAGGUGGCACAAGCCAGGGAGUAGCGACUGUUUAACAAAAACACAGGACUCUGCUAACACGUAAGUGGAUGUAUAGGGUCUGACGCCUGCCCGGUGCCGGAAGGUUAAAGCAAGAUGUGCAAGCAUCGAACUGAAGCCCCGGUGAACGGCGGCCGUAACUAUAACGGUCCUAAGGUAGCGAAAUUCCUUGUCGGGUAAGUUCCGACCUGCAUGAAUGGCGUAACGACUGCUCCGGUGUCUCCAACAUCAACUCAGCGAAAUUGAAUUCUCCGUGAAGAUGCGGAGUUCCCGUGGUUAGACGGAAAGACCCCGUGCACCUUUACUACAACUUUACAUUGGUAUUAGAAAUGACAUGUGUAGCAUAGGAGGGAGACUUUGAAGUGGGGGCGCAAGCUUCCAUGGAGUCGUCAGUGAAAUACCUCUCUUGUUAUUUUUGAUAUCUAACUCCAUGCCGUCAUCCGGCUGGAAGACACUGUAUGGUGGGUAGUUUGACUGGGGCGGUCGCCUCCUAAAGAGUAACGGAGGCGUGCGAAGGUAGGCUCAGAUCGGUCAGAAAUCGAUCGUUGAGUGCAAUGGCAUAAGCCUGCCUGACUGCAAGACUGACAAGUCAAGCAGAGUCGAAAGACGGUCAUAGUGAUCCGGUGGUUCUGAGUGGAAGGGCCAUCGCUCAACGGAUAAAAGGUACGCCGGGGAUAACAGGCUGAUACCCUCCAAGAGUUCAUAUCGACGAGGGUGUUUGGCACCUCGAUGUCGGCUCAUCACAUCCUGGGGCUGGAGCAGGUCCCAAGGGUUUGGCUGUUCGCCAAUUAAAGUGGUACGUGAGCUGGGUUCAGAACGUCGCGAGACAGUUUGGUCCCUAUCUGCCGUGGGCGUCGAAAUUUGAGAGGAGUUGACCCUAGUACGAGAGGACCGGGUUGAACAUACCUCUGGUGUACCUGUCGUGGCGCCAGCCGCGCAGCAGGGUAGCUAUGUAUGGACGGGAUAACCGCUGAAAGCAUCUAAGCGGGAAGCCUCCCUCGAGAUUAGAUUUCAUCGAGUCGUAGUAGACCACUACGUUGAUAGGUUGGGUGUGGAAGCGCAGUAAUGCGUGAAGCUAACCAAUCCUAAUUACUCUUUUCGCGCUU
rnacentral:rRNA from 1 species